ensembl:lncRNA novel transcript
AGGGGAAGCUGAACCGGCUGAGGGUGGAGGCGAAAACGCGGUCUGGCUUAGGAGGACCUUGGAGACAGACAAGGGGAGUGGUUCCUGUGAUGGGAUCAGUCAGAUGCCUGCCUGGCCGCUCCCCCUGAGGGGACUUGGGCUCCUCUUAGCAUUGGCAGGCCGGUAUAAACUUCCGGCUCAGAUCGAGCUAUGCCUGAUGCUGCCUUAAGCCUUAUGAGGUCGCCAAGGAACCGCAGAAACUCCUGGAGGGCAGAGCUGUGUCUGCCAUCUUCAUCAUUGCAUUACCACCACCCAGCACAGUGCCUGGCACAAAAGAGUUGCUCAAUAAAUAAAUCCGGAUGAAUGGAUAAAUACAUGGAUAGGCACUUUGAACUACAGAUGAGUUUAAAUACUUUGUGUUUUUCUUAGUCAAACAUGUGCAAUUAAGCAUGUGAUAAAUGAUAUGAUGACCACA